GACGAACCGUCCUAACGUUGUUCGGAAUCACUGGGCUUAAAGGGCGCGUAGGCGGCUUGCCAAGUCAGGGGUGAAAUCCUGCAGCUUAACUGUAGAAGGGCCUUUGAUACUGGCGAGCUCGAGGGAGGUAGGGGUAUGUGGAACUUCCGGUGGAGCGGUGAAAUGCGUUGAUAUCGGAAGGAACGCCGGUGGCGAAAGCGACGUACUGGACCUCUUCUGACGCUGAGGCACGAAAGCGUGGGGAGCAAACAGG
rnacentral:rRNA from 1 species